rnacentral:rRNA from 1 species
UACAGAGGUCUCAAGCGUUGUUCGGAAUCACUGGGCGUAAAGGGUGCGUAGGCCGCACGGAAAGUCAGAGGUGAAAUCCCGGAGCUCAACUUCGGAAUUGCCUCCGAUACUCCCGUGCUUGAGGACUGGAGAGGAGUCUGGAAUUCACAGUGGAGCAGUGAAAUGCGUAGAUAUUGUGAGGAACACUAGUGGCGAAGGCGAGACUCUGGACAGUUCCUGACGCUGAGGCACGAAGGCCAGGGGAGCAAACGGGG